rnacentral:rRNA from 1 species
CAGUCGCCGCGGGAAUACGUAGGUGGCAAGCGUUGUCCGGAAUUAUUGGGCGUAAAGCGCGCGCAGGUGGUUUAAUAAGUCUGAUGUGAAAGCCCACGGCUCAACCGUGGAGGGUCAUUGGAAACUGUUAAACUUGAGUGCAGGAGAGAAAAGUGGAAUUCCUAGUGUAGCGGUGAAAUGCGUAGAGAUUAGGAGGAACACCAGUGGCGAAGGCGACUCUCUGGUCUGUAACUGACGCUGAGGAGCGAAAGCGUGGGGAGCGAUCAGGAUUAGAGACCCGAGUAGUCCCUGUCUCUUAACA